UGAAGUAAGUAAGGGCGUACGGUGAAUGCCUUGGUGCCAACAGGCGAAGAAGGACGCGGCAAGCUGCGAAAAGCCUCGGGAAGCUGCAAGCAAGCGAUGAUCCGGGGAUAUCCGAAUGGGGUAACCUGAUCGAGGCAAUACUCGAUCGUUCAUACCUGAAUACAUAGGGUAUGAAACGCGAAACCCGCUGAAGUGAAACAUCUCAGUAAGCGGAGGAAAAGAAAGAGAAAUCGAUUCCGUAAGUAGUGGCGAGCGAAAGCGGAUGGAGCCCAAACCGAAGGUAUUCCUUCGGGGUUGUAGGACCACGACCUAUUCGACCAUACUGGAUAGUAGAACAGCCUGGAAAGGCUGGCCGUAGAAGGUGAAAGCCCUGUAGACGAAAUCCAGAGUGGGAAUUAGUGGUAUCCUGAGUAAUACAUCACACGUGGAACGAUGUAUGAAACCGCGCGGACCACCGCGCAAGGCUAAAUACUAGUUGGCGACCGAUAGUGAACAAGUACCGCGAGGGAAAGGUGAAAAGAACCGCUGUGAGCGGAGUGAAAUAGAACCUGAAACCGUAUGUCUACAAAGUGUCAGAGCAGAGCAAUCUGCGAUGGCGUGCCUUUUGUUUAAUGAGUCUGCGAGUCAGUGUUUGUGGCAAGACUAAGGGCUUCCGGCCCGGAGUCGCAGCGAAAGCAAGUCCGAACAGGGCGCAAUAAGUCGCAGGUACUGGACCCGAAGCGGAGGUGACCUACCCUUGGCCAGGUUGAAGCAUGGGUAAAACCAUGUGGAGGACCGAACAGGUGAACGUUGAAAAGUUCUCUGAUGAGCUGAGGGUAGGAGUGAAAGGCUAAUCAAACCCCGUGAUAGCUGGUUCUCUUCGAAAUGCAUUUAGGUGCAGCGUCACGUGCUGAUGCGCGGGGGUAGAGCACUGACAAGGCUAGGGGGCACACCCGCUUACCAAACCUUAUCAAACUCCGAAUACCGUGCAAUGGAACGUGGCAGUGAGACAGUGGGGGAUAAGCUUCAUUGUCGAGAGGGAAACAACCCAGACCAGCAGCUAAGGUGCCUAAAUAACGCUCAGUGGAAAGGAUGUGGGAUUACACAGACAGUGAGGAUGUUGGCUUAGAAGCAGCCACCAUUUAAAAAAUGCGUAAUAGCUUACUCAUCGAGUGAUCCUGCGCCGAAAAUGAUUGGCGAUCAAGCGUUAUACCGAAGCUCUGGACUUUGCCGCAAGGCAGAGUGGUAGAAGAGCGUUGCAUGCGCGUCGAAGGGUGAUGGCGACUGACCCUGGAGCACAUGCAAGUGAGUAUGCAGACAUGAGUAACGUUAAGCCGGGUGAAAUCCCCGGCCGCCGUAAACCCGAGGUUUCCAGGGCAACGUGUUUCGUCCCUGGGUUAGCCGGGACCUAAGCCGAGGCCGAGAGGCGUAGGCGAUGGACAUCAGGUUAAUAAUCCUGAGCUCGCGACCCUUAAACUGGGGGGACGCAUGAGAAAAGAUGACUAGGUUAUUGAAUUCCGAGUUGAGUCUACGGACUCAGCGCAUCAUUGGAUCGAGUGCCAAGAAAAGCCCCAGCGUAUGCUAAGCGACCCGUACCGCAAACCGACACAGGUGGGUGGGUAGAAUAUACCAAGGCGUAAGAGUGAAACCUGGUUAAGGAACUCGGCAAAUUAGCCCCGUAACUUCGGAAGAAGGGGUGCCUGCAGCGAUGCAGGCCGCAGAGAAAUGGCCCAACCGACUGUUUAUCAAAAACACAGCACUCUGCAAAGACGCAAGUCGAAGUAUAGGGUGUGACACGUGACCAAUGCCGAAAGAUUAAGGCAAGGGGUUAGCCGCAAGGCGAAGCUCUGAACCCAAGUCCCGGUGAAUGUCGGCCGUAACUAUAACGGUCCUAAGGUAGCGAAAUUCCUUGUCGGGUAAGUUCCGACCUGCACGAAUCGUGAAACGAGUUGGGCACUGUCUCAACCAGGCGCUCAGUGAAAUUGUAGUGGCGGUGAAGAUGCCGCCUACCCGCAGAAGGACGGAAAGACCCUAUAGACCUUAACUGUAAGCUGUCAUUGUUUCUUCGGUUUUAAUGCUCAGAGUAAGUGGGAGACGCUGAAGACGCCCUUUAGGGGGCGUCCGAGUCAUCAAUGAGACACCACCCUUUGAAACUGGAGGAUCUAACCCUGAGCCGUGAAUCCGGCCAGAGGACCGUGUCAGCCGGUCAGUUUUACUGGGGCGGUAUCCUCCCAAAGAGUAACGGAGGAGCGCGAAGGUGGGCUCAGCCCGGUUGGCAACCGGGUGUCGAGUGCAUGGGCAUAAGCCCGCCUAACUGUGAGACCAACAAGUCGAGCAGAUGCGAAAGCAGGCCCAAGUGAUCCGGCGGUAGAAAGUGGAAUUGCCGUCGCUCAACGGAUAAAAGGUACCUUAGGGAUAACAGGCUGAUCACGCCCAAGAGUUCAUAUCGACGGCGUGGUUUGGCACCUCGAUGUCGGCUCGUCGCAUCCUGGGGCUGUAUUCGGUCCCAAGGGUUUGGCUGUUCGCCAAUUAAAGCGGCACGCGAGCUGGGUU
rnacentral:rRNA from 1 species